rnacentral:lncRNA from 1 species
GCAAGAGUGAAAGAAAUAGUAAAGAAACAUGUUGUUAUUGAUACUUGAAGAUUAACUAGGAUAUACCAGUAAGAAGCAAAGUGCAGAAAGGAAAAAUGAGUAACUUUUCACAGCCUAGCCUUGGCUUUUAGCCGGCUAGAUAAAAGAAAUAACACAAGUAGUAACAAAGAAAAAAGAGAGAGUUUAAGUGAAGUUUGUGUUCUAAACUCAGAUGGUUUGUUCGUGUCUUUGAAAGAAAAGAAGGUGUGUAUUUAUUGUUUUUAAAACAAGUGCAGAACAAGGUAAUAAGUAAAGUCUUAACACAAAUAUAGAAACAAUCACCAGUCAUAAUCAAUUACACAAGUGAUCCCCUUUAAUUAAGGAAUCACUGUUUAACGGAUAGUAACAGGUUCAAAGAAGGAAUGAAAUCAGUUUGAGAAUAGAUUGAUUAAUUCCAUAUAAGGGGUAGUAAAAGCAUGCAGCGAACAAUCAAAUCUGAGUACCAAAAAUACGCUUAUUUUAGGAUAGAAAUCAGCAAGGUAAAAAUAUCACAGUAAAGGGAAAAUAAUCAAUUAGUUUUAAACAGGCGAGUGAAAUUAGGGUUCAUAAAAGAAAAGCUUUUGAAAUCAGUCAUAAGAUCAAGGUCAAUCAAGGAAGAAACAUGCUUCAGCACUUUAGUAUAUAAAUAGAGUGAAUAAAACAUCAUCCGUGCUAGGCCAAGCACAUUGGCAAAAGAAAAAACAUACAAUGGUAGAAGAAAUAAGCAUAAGAUUCAGUAGAUAGUCAAGAUUCACACAUAUAGCCAAAGUGCAAAAGAGAGUCAAAACAAGUAAAGGUCUCACAGGAACAAGUGACGAAACCCUUUUGAGAAAUCUAGGUAUCAACAAGGGUUGAGUUGAAGAGAUAGUAAAACUCAGAAUCAGAUAAGUCACAUAUAGAAGAGAGAGUCACAAGCAAAGAACUUUAAUCGAAUCAAGUGCAUACUCAAAAAAUAGUUCCAGACCAAGAAGACCUAGGGUUUCCAACAAUAAUUGAGUUUAAAAGACAAUAAAACAAAUAAGUCAAAUAAGAACAAGGAACUUAAUCAAACACGUACACAUCUAACAAACAGUUUCAGGACUCGAACGAGACCACAAAAGGAACUAGGGUUUUAACAUGCUGAAAAAGAUAGAAGAACGACAUGAACAAAACAUAGCAAAAUCACAAACACAUUAAAAUCAGAGAUUGUUGAAAAGAAAAACUUAAAGGAAAACCCUAAUCGGAGAAGAUGAAGGGUCAUUUAGAAAGAAAGUUUUAAAAACUUUCGAGAAAACACUUAAAGCACUCAUAGCAAGUACAGAUCUAAAGUAGAUCUGAAAGAAAAAUCAAAAGAUCUUAAUGAUUAUGGUUUCGAAAAACCCAAAAAAGGUAAGAAAGACCUUGAAAGUUUCUUAUCUAACCGGGAAAGUCAAGGAUCUGCCUUAAAAGCCAUGAAUGGCAGGAGAAAGGUCAUGGAUGGCCGGAGAAAGGUCAUGGAUGGCCGGAGAAAAGCCGCGAACAAAAGUCAAGCAAGGACUGGACCAGAUUCCUUCGAGGACUCGCCAUGAAACCAUAAAAACCAACACCCAAGAGCCAUGGGAGGCUGAUACAUGUCUCAAAUGACCACGAGGGGCCAUGCCUUAGGAAGUUAUUAGGGUGGGGUAAGAGGGAGGCGGCUAGGGUUCAUGAGAGUUUC